UACGAAGGGUGCUAGCGUUGUUCGGAAUCACUGGGCGUAAAGCGCACGUAGGCGGAUUUGUAAGUCAGGGGUGAAAUCCCGGGGCUCAACCUCGGAACUGCCUUUGAUACAGCAAGUCUUGAGUUCGAGAGAGGUGGGUGGAAUUCCUAGUGUAGAGGUGAAAUUCGUAGAUAUUAGGAAGAACACCGGUGGCGAAGGCGGCCCACUGGCUCGAUACUGACGCUGAGGAGCGAAAGCGUGGGGAGCGAACAGG
rnacentral:rRNA from 1 species